UACGGAGGGGGCUAGCGUUGUUCGGAAUUACUGGGCGUAAAGCGCACGUAGGCGGGUUGUUAAGUCAGGGGUGAAAUCCUGGAGCUCAACUCCAGAACUGCCUUUGAUACUGGCAACCUAGAGGCUGGAAGAGGUUAGUGGAAUUCCCAGUGUAGAGGUGAAAUUCGUAGAUAUUGGGAAGAACACCAGUGGCGAAGGCGGCUAACUGGUCCAGAUCUGACGCUGAGGUGCGAAAGCGUGGGGAGCGAACGGG
rnacentral:rRNA from 1 species